UACGGAGGGUGCAAGCGUUGCUCGGAAUUAUUGGGCGUAAAGGGUAGGUAGGUGGUCUCAUUUGUCUGGGGUGAAAUCCUUGAGCUUAACUCAAGAAGUGCCCCAGAAACGGUGAGACUUGAGUCCUGGAGAGGGUCGUGGAAUUCCCGGUGUAGCGGUGAAAUGCGUAGAGAUCGGGAGGAACACCAGAGGCGAAGGCGGCGGCCUGGACAGGAACUGACACUCAACUACGAAAGCGUGGGGAGCAAACAGG
rnacentral:rRNA from 1 species